GCUAGCUGAGUUUCUGUCUUGCUUUGCUCGAAAUGGUUUGACUUGCAUUUAGUCACAGUUAUGAGUGAAUCAGCUACAUCGUUUGGCUCCUUUAUUGUUUAUUCUCGCUUCCGUCAAUGCCACAGAAAGGUAGUUGUUUUCUGGAUGGUUUGCCUCUGUUUCUUUCUUAAGGUUAUAGAUCCUUGCUAAUACCAGUUUAAUCUCG
rnacentral:lncRNA from 1 species